rnacentral:rRNA from 1 species
GACGUAGGGCGCGAGCGUUGUUCGGAGUUACUGGGCGUAAAGGGUGUGUAGGCGGUUGUUUAAGUUUGGUGUGAAAUCUCCCGGCUCAACUGGGAGGGUGCGCCGAAUACUGAAUGACUUGGAGUGCGGGAGAGGAAAGUGGAAUUCCUGGUGUAGCGGUGAAAUGCGUAGAUAUCAGGAGGAACACCGGUGGUGUAGACGGCUUUCUGGACCGUAACUGACGCUGAGACACGAAAGCGUGGGUAGCAAACAGG